AUUGAACGCUGGCAGCAGGCUUAACACAUGCAAGUCGAGCGGGGGAAGGUAGCUUGCUACCGGACCUAGCGGCGGACGGGUGAGUAAUGCUUAGGAAUCUGCCUAUUAGUGGGGGACAACAUCUCGAAAGGGAUGCUAAUACCGCAUACGUCCUACGGGAGAAAGCAGGGGAUCUUCGGACCUCGCGCUAAUAGAUGAGCCUAAGUCGGAUUAGCUAGUUGGUGGGGUAAAGGCCUACCAAGGCGACGAUCUGUAGCGGGUCUGAGAGGAUGAUCCGCCACACUGGGACUGAGACACGGCCCAGACUCCUACGGGAGGCAGCAGUGGGGAAUAUUGGACAAUGGGGGGAACCCUGAUCCAGCCAUGCCGCGUGUGUGAAGAAGGCCUUAUGGUUGUAAAGCACUUUAAGCGAGGAGGAGGCUACUCUAGUUAAUACCUAGGGAUAGUGGACGUUACUCGCAGAAUAAGCACCGGCUAACUCUGUGCCAGCCGCCGCCGUAA
rnacentral:rRNA from 1 species